GACAGCAUGGCAUAGUGGUUUGAGCAUUGGACUAUAACUCUGGAGACCAGGGUUCGAUUCCGAGCUUGGCCA